UACGAGGGGAGCAAGCGUUAUUCGGAAUUACUGGGCGUAAAGGGUGUGUAGGCGGUGCAUUAAGUCAGUUGUUAAAUUCUUCAGCUCAACUGGGGGUCAGCGAUUGAUACUGAUGUGCUUGAGCGCAGAAGAGAGAGGUGGAAUUAUCGGAGUAGCGGUAAAAUGCGUAGAUCUCGAUAGGAACACCGAUGGCGAAGGCAGCCUCUUGGUCUGUUGCUGACGCUGAGACACGAAAGCGUGGGGAGCAAAC
rnacentral:rRNA from 1 species